rnacentral:rRNA from 1 species
UAGGGAAUCUUCGGCAAUGGACGAAAGUCUGACCGAGCAACGCCGCGUGAGUGAAGAAGGUUUUCGGAUCGUAAAACUCUGUUGUUAGAGAAGAACAAGGAUGAGAAGAGAAUGUUCAUCCCUUGACGGUAUCUAACCAGAAAGCCACGGCUAACUACGUGCCAGCAGCCGCGGUAAUCGUAGGUGGCAAGCGUUGUCCGGAUUUAUUGGGCGUAAAGCGAGCGCAGGCGGUUCUUUAAGUCUGAUGUGAAAGCCCCCGGCUCAACCGGGGAGGGUCAUUGGAAACU